rnacentral:lncRNA from 1 species
CUCAGGGUCUACUCUGCCCACUACAGCUCCACAUUAAACGAGAUCAGCCAGGGUAGGCAGCUCAUGCUAGGGACGGGCUCCACCCAACAGCAAGCCCUUGGGCAACUUGUGAAACUGCAUAGACUGAGUGCCCAGAUCUUCCGCAGGCAGUUUAUGAAGUGAAAGCAUUUUGGAUACGACAAUAAGUUGAACCUGUUUCGUGGUCUUCCAACUUCCUUCCUGGAUUCUGAGGCCCCAGACGCCCUAGUAUGGAAUUACUGGAGCAAGGAAUCUGAGCUUCAGAGAUAUGCAGCAACUUGCUCAAGAAAGCACAGUGUGAUCUCAUCUACUUUAUUCAUUGCUGCAUCUUUUGUAUCUAGAAGUGGUAGAUAUUCAUUAAGUAAUCUUCAAUUAAAUGGAUGCCAAUCGGCAAAUAUCUAGCCAGG